GAUGAACGCUGGCGGCGUGCCUAAUACAUGCAAGUCGAGCGAACAGACGAGGAGCUUGCUCCUCUGACGUUAGCGGCGGACGGGUGAGUAACACGUGGAUAACCUACCUAUAAGACUGGGAUACCUUCGGGAAACCGGAGCUAAUACCGGAUAAUAUAUUGAACCGCAUGGUUCAAUAGUGAAAGACGGUUUUGCUGUCACUUAUAGAUGGAUCCGCGCCGCAUUAGCUAGUUGGUAAGGUAACGGCUUACCAAGGCGACGAUGCGUAGCCGACCUGAGAGGGUGAUCGGCCACACUGGAACUGAGACACGGUCCAGACUCCUACGGGAGGCAGCAGUAGGGAAUCUUCCGCAAUGGGCGAAAGCCUGACGGAGCAACGCCGCGUGAGUGAUGAAGGUCUUCGGAUCGUAAAACUCUGUUAUUAGGGAAGAACAAAUGUGUAAGUAACUAUGCACGUCUUGACGGUACCUAAUCAGAAAGCCACGGCUAACUACGUG
rnacentral:rRNA from 1 species